UAGUGUCAUAUCACAUCGUCCCUUCACGUGUUCAUUAUAUCAUUCAUCAAAUGUAACUCACCACGCAACCCCUAAUGGCCAUUCUGCCCUAAUGUCCCUGUGUGCAAUUUACAUUUAUCCCUCGAUUAAUGCAACACCAAAGUUCUCAUGCUCCAUGAAGUAUCUCAAGUAAUUCCACAUAUAACGUAUAUAUAUCCCAUCAUAAACAUUUCAACAAAUCCAACAUGCUUGACUUAAAAUAGAAUAUUUAUAAAUAGAUCAAAACCCAUAAUAACUUGUACUUUUCAUUUAUCAAAAAAUAAGAAUAUUUUAAACACAUUACAUAAACCAUUCACCUCGAUCGAUAGCUAGAACCCCGGUAAGACAAGCUCACUAACAAUCUCCACAUAACCAACUCACUAACCCUAAACUCUAUUUCUUCUCUCUCUGUGUAUAUAUAUAUAUAUAUAUACAAACUCAAACCUUAUGCAUUUUAGGUUUUUUAUUGAAGUCCCUCUCCUGUCACAUAAAGGCCAUAAUAAUAAAGGAGUAAAUUACAUAGUAACCCCUCAAGUUUGAGGUCUAUUACAACCUCAUACAACAUCUUUAAAACAUUUCACUUUCAUACCUCACGUACUAUUUUAUUUCAAAAUAAUACCUCUGUUAAAUUUUCCAUC
rnacentral:lncRNA from 1 species